ACCUGUGUGAUGAUGGAGCUGGGAGUCCUCUUUUCAGCUGUAUUUUGCUUCCUUCCCACACAGAC
rnacentral:miRNA from 1 species